rnacentral:rRNA from 1 species
CGCAUAAGAUCGCAAGAUGAAAGUCGUAAGACGCCGAGAGAGGAGCUUGCGGCCCAUCAGCUAGUUGGUAGGGUAACGGCCUACCAAGGCUACGACGGGUAGGGGGUGUGAGAGCACGGCCCCCCAGAACGGGACUGAGACACGGCCCGUACACCUACGGGUGGCAGCAACCGGGAAUUGUACGCAAUGGACGAAAGUCUGACGUCGCGACGCCGCGUGGAGGAUGAAGGCUUACGAGUCGUAAACUCCUUUUGCCACAAGUGAGAACUUGUGGAGAAUAAGUACUUGCUAACUCUGUGCCAGCAGCAGCGGUAAUACAGAGAGUACAAGCGUUGUCCGGAAUUAUUGGGCGUAAAGCGUUUCGCAGGUGUCUAUCUAAGUUACAGUUGAAAGACCGGGGCUCAACCUCGGCAACGGCCGUAAUACUAGAUGGAUUGAGUGGUAUCGGGGCUAUUGGAACUGUCGGUGUAGGGGUGAAAUCCGUUGAUAUCGACAGGAACUCCGAGGGCGUAGGCAGAUAGCUAGGUACCUCUUGACACUCAUGAACGAAAGCUAGGGGAGCGAAAGGGAUUAGAGACCCCUGUAGUCCUAGCCGUAAACACUGCUCGCUAGCUUUUCCAAGCUUUGCUUGGAGGGGCGUAAGCUAACGCGUGAAGCGAGCUGCCUGGGAAGUACGAUCGCAAGAUUAAAACUCAAAGGAAUUGACGGGGACCUGCACAACCAGCGGAGCAUGUGGUUUAAUUCGAGACGAACCGAAGAACCUUACCCAGAUUUGACAUGAUACCGUUUAGGCACCUAGAAAUAGGAGCUGAUCCUUCAGAAAUGUUGGAUGGUACCACAGGUGUUGCAUGGCUGUCGUCAGCUCGUGCCGUAGGGUGUUCCCUUAAGUGGGGUAACGAGCGCAACCCCUUUCGCGUGUUGAAUAUUCACGCGAUACAGACCGCCUCGAGCGGUAGGAAGCGGGGACGACGUCAAGUCAGCAUGGCCCUUAUAUCUGGGGCAACACACAUACUACAAUGAAGCCGACAAACCGUCGCCAAGCCGUAAGGUGGAGCUAAUCGGAAAAACGGCUUCUCAGUGGGGAUUGUGGGCUGAAACCCGCCCACAUGAACAUGGAGUUGGUAGUAAUCGUGAAUCAGCUAAGUCACGGUGAAUACGUUCUCAGGUCUUGUACACACCGCCCGUCAAGUCAGUGGAGUUGGGGGCACCCGAAUGUCUAUUGUUAGGCAGAAGGUGACACCAGCAACAAGGAUUAAGUCGUAACAAGGUAUCCCUACUGGAAGGUGGGGAUG